GAGUGGCGAACUGGUGAGUAACACGUGGGUAAUCUGCCCAGAAGCAGGGGAUAACACUUGGAAACAGGUGCUAAUACCGUAUAACAACAAAAUCCGCAUGGAUUUUGUUUGAAAGGUGCUUUCGGCUAUCGCUUCUGGAUGAUCCCGCGGCGUAUUAGUUAGUUGGUGAGGUAAAGGCCCACCAAGACGAUGAUACGUAGCCGACCUGAGAGGGUAAUCGGCCACAUUGGGACUGAGACACGGCCCAAACUCCUACGGGAGGCAGCAGUAGGGAAUCUUCCACAAUGGACGAAAGUCUGAUGGAGCAAUGCCGCGUGAGUGAAGAAGGGUUUCGGCUCGUAAAACUCUGUUGUUAAAGAAGAACACCUUUGAGAGUAACUGUUCAAGGGUUGACGGUAUUUAACCAGAAAGCCACGGCUAACUACGUGCCAGCAGCCGCGGUAAUACGUAGGUGGCAAGCGUUGUCCGGAUUUAUUGGGCGUAAAGCGAGCGCAGGCGGUUUUUUAAGUCUGAUGUGAAAGCCUUCGGCUUAACCGGAGAAGUGCAUCGGAAACUGGGAGACUUGAGUGCAGAAGAGGACAGUGGAACUCCAUGUGUAGCGGUGGAAUGCGUAGAUAUAUGGAAGAACACCAGUGGCGAAGGCGGCUGUCUAGUCUGUAACUGACGCUGAGGCUCGAAAGCAUGGGUAGCGAACAGGAUUAGAUACCCUGGUAGUCCAUGCCGUAAACGAUGAGUGCUAAGUGUUGGAGGGUUUCCGCCCUUCAGUGCUGCAGCUAACGCAUUAAGCACUCCGCC
rnacentral:rRNA from 2 species